rnacentral:lncRNA from 1 species
CGUCGCGCGUGCGUCGCCACGGUGUCCCUGUGCGUAUAGGGUAUUGAGCGUGGCGCAGCCGUCGUGGUCGGGGUCGUGGCCCGCCGCCAGUUGGCACAGGAAGGCGCUGUCUUUACACGGGCCGGCACCGAUGAGACCGGCCUUGGCGAGCACGGCCAGACAGUAGGGGUCGGUAUUGCAAAUGGCCGCGGCUCCGGCGACGGGGUCCCACGGGAAGCCGUGCGCCAAGAGGUAAUCGAGCGCCUUGUGUUGGCGACGCUUGACUGCCAAGAGGCAAAAUUUGGCAUGGCGCGGACAGUCGCAGCCCGUCUCGAUCAUCCAUCGAUAGAGCGUGCCGUCUCUGGAGACGGCCUUUAAGAGGCACGACUCGAUGUUCCAUGCGAGGCCGCGGUCGAUGGCCCAUCGCAUGAGAUCCGCACAACCGUGACUUGCCAGACGGGUCGCCAUGUCGGCAUCCCAGGACACGCCCGCGGUCAAGAGCGCGUCAAUCAUCCCUGGCUCCCCACAAUCGAUGGCCUCGUACAUGUCGCUUGGGGUCCACGUGUAGCCGCGCGCCGUCAGGAGAGGCACCGACGUGACGUCAUGUCCAUAGAUCACGGCUUCGCCGGCAUCCUCGUCCAUGGGAUGGCCCAAGUCGAGCGCCAACGCGAGGCUCCGUGCACCGCCGGCAGCCGCCAUGACGAGUGCACGAUUAUCCCAGGGGCAGCCAUUGGCGAUCAGGUAGCGCAGGCACGUCAAGCGCGCGUCGAGGCUGGCACACACGUCCACGUCGGCACCGGGGAGCCGGCGCUCAAAAGAUUUUGGGUCGAGCGCCGCCGCGGUGGCCCGCUCGUCCCACGGGCAGCCGUGUCGGUGUAGGUAGACAAGGCAGUCGAUGUGACCGCCCGAGGUGGCUCCGGCAGUCGCUGUGUCAUCCCAUGCAAAGCCGGCCGCACGAGCGUACUCGAUGCACGGCAGGUGACCGCCUGCUGCCGCAGCGGCGCACACACGCGCGUCGCUCCUGGUGGCGCCCGUUUCGCACAUGGCCUUGAGGACCUGGAUAUGGCCAACGCCCGCCGCGGCGACCGCCAACUCGUCCACCUUCCAUUUGGCGCCGCGUCGGGCAAAGCGCACGGCCAGGCCAAAGCGGCCUCGGGCCGUCGCUGCGGCGCACGCAUCGGCCGUCUGCGUGUGCCCUCGCGCCAGAGCGCACUCGAUGCAGUCGACGUGAAACAGGUCGACGGCCGACGCGUAGGGGUCCAUCUUCCGGGUAUAACCGUGGCAGCACACCUCGGUCGGGCAGGCCGACUCGUCCAAGGCGACGGCCCGCCAGUGACGACAGACGCUCGCGACGCCGCCAUAGAGCCUGUCCAGGCACGGCACGUGGGCCAUGAUCAACGCGAGCAAUUCGUCGGGCAGGUCGCCGAUGGUGGUGGCUUUGGUCGUGUCGGUUGGCACAUCGCUUCCGGCCGACGCCGUUGCCGCAUGCGCGUCCCUAGGUCGGAUGGGACGCACACGUGUUUUCGAGGACCGCUUGGCGCAUGUUGUUGUGAUGUGCGCCUUGCGCUUGGUACCGUGUGGUGCACUGGCGGGAGCAACGCAAUCCCCGUGCGACGCCGACGUCGCCGUGGAAGAAUAGGCUGCAGGCGCGGCGACGCGACGAGAGCGACCACUGCGUGGCGCUUUGGGUUGCGCUGCCUCUCGAAGUUGCGAUGUUGCCAUCUUGUUGUCGCGAUGGCGAUCGCUGUGGAAAAAAACGGUUUAUCUUUUCGACAGGCCGCAUAGAUUGUGCCUUUUUUU